AUCCAUGAAACUGGCCAAUGACAAAAGUGCGCGCCUUCUUACUAGUACAUUUGAAAAUACGUCAGUUUGGUGAUGUGCUUGAUUGCGAGAUUACUCGGUCAGUUCCGGUUAUGUGCCUGUUAAAGUCUUAUUAAUUUGAGUUGUGGCAUGUCAAUGGAGAACAGAAGCUGGAGUGUGAACACAGAGGAAGGGGCAGACUGGAUGUGGUCCUGCAAACAUGGCGAUAUCAGGUGGCACAAAGAAAGAGAAAUAGAACUUGUCACCAUCAUCAGUCCUUUAUUUCAUUCACUGGGGAACAUCACAACCUUCAGAUGUGUCUUAUCAGGAUAAAUGCAGCUGCAGGGAAAAUUAUUUGAAGGACUCGUCAGCCCCAUCCUACUCCAGAUUCACCAAGGAUCCAGCUGAAGCCCCGUUCACACUACAAGCGACACGCAACGACAAAGCAACACGAUCCCAUUCAUUUCAAUGGAGAGCUGGCGAUUUCCGGCGACAGAGGCUGUUGGCGACCGGAUGUGGCGUGUCCAGCGACGCGACAAAGUUCAGAAUCAUUCAACUUUAUGCAAAUGAAGAGCGACUUUCGGGAGCAAUAGCCAAUAGGAAGGAAGACGGUAGAGCUCAUGUGAUCGUUCUCCUCUCAGCCGUAGAUAAACAUACACAAUGGAAAAAAGUAGGCUCUGCUUCUCAUUCAUAUUUGUAUGUACGGAUUUAAUUUAUAUUUAUAUUAUAUUUAGUCUUUUGCCUCCCAAAUGUUUUUAUUUAGCAGCAAGAAACCUGAUUCGCUGUGAAGGCAACCAGUAGUGAGAACGCCCGCUAGCAACCUCAUCGCCAGCCCCUGUGACCACAGCUUCAUUACUGGCCAUUUGGAGGAGGAUUGUCCUUUAUCUGCUACACUGCACUGCCACUUCUGAGGCUCUUUAGAAGACUGCACUGAUGUCAAAGGUCAACCGGCAAGAAGCUGAGGGGGAACUCUCAAAAUUGGUACAAGAGACAGAGGAGGACUGAGGGUGUCUAGAAUGCACAAAUGUCUGUCUGCAGUGUAAGCAGUACUGAAAAAUGUAUUGUUGCUGCUGCUUCUAACUGUCCCCAGUUUUUUUUUUUUUUUUCUUGUGCAAAUGUUCAAAGCUUUCAGUAAACACUGGUUCAAAUACAGUUUCAAAAUGUGUGUUAACUUUAACAGUUACAUUAAUUAUAACAAUUAGGUAUCAGAAUAUAGCAUAAUAUGAUGGGUAGUUUCAAUAAAUUUGAAAUUAAGCAUAUUGUCUUGUUGGGCCCACCCUAACACCCAGAUAGGUUUUGCAUAUGAUCCCUAGUUGGGCCCCACCUAAAACCCAGUGAAAUCCUGCAUAAAACCCACAUGGAUAAGUUGCAUGGGGCCAACAUGGAACCCGUGGACAAACCCACUUACAACCCAUACUUAGAUGGAUCCCAGAUGGGUAUUGCAUAUGAUCUCUUGUUGGGCCCCACCUAAAACCCAGGGAAAUCCUGCAUAAAACCCACAUGGGUAAGCUGCACAGGGCCAACAUGGAACCCGUGGACAAACCCACUUACAACCCAUAUUUAGAUGGAACCCAGAUGGGUUUUGCAUAUCAUCCCUAGUUGGGCCCCACCUAAAGCCCAGGGAAAUCCUGCAUAAAACCAGUCAUAAGACAUGCAACAGUCUGUGUGGUGCAACAGUCAAUAUGAUUGAAGGGCGACCACCGAUGGCGAGUGGACGGAAGACCACAAACCGGAUUCGUGACACUAAGACAGGAGAAAUGGUGAAGAUACACUGUUCCAGCAUUGGAAAACUGUAUUUUUAAGUGUUAUACAUGCAAUGUUUUAAAUAAAUCUUUUGAUAUUUUGUAAUUAUUUUGUCUGUUUUAGUUGAA